rnacentral:lncRNA from 1 species
UUCUAAACUAACAAUAUACAAGUAACAUGAUUAACUUUUAACCAUAUACAUGCAUUCAACUUAUACAUUUACAUUCUUUUCUCUAAACAUCAUUUCUUCUCAUUACAUCACAUGAUCUUCCAAAAUAUGCCUUUUCAUUCAAACAUAAGCUCUCUUUAUAUUUAACCAUCGUUCAUACAUUUAUAAUCAUCAAAAUACAAAAGAUGAUAC